CUGGCUUGCUAGGAGUGUUUUUUUUAUUCUUCGCAGUAGCAGCUCCAUCAGGAAGUGUGUGCGCACUGCAAUUCCGUCCCCUGAAAGAGGAGCUCGCAGUCCAACAUAUUAAUAAGAGGCUCAUUUGAAAGGUGACUUUUACUGCUAGUAAAGGAGGCGUCCUUGCUGCCCUGAGGUGUCAUCAAGCCCGGAGGUGACGGCAGUGAUGAAGGUGACAAAGCAACUCCAGCGCGGCGCAGUUGGAGGUGGCUGUACCACCACGGAGAACCAGCUGAGAGUGACCUUUCUGCAUUGUUCCACCAAUGCAUCAGACUUGAUAAGUGGCCCAGAGAGGGCGAGCACAGGGGGCGACGCUGCCUUUAUACGCAGCCUCCCCCCUCCUUUCCUUACCAGAAAGCCCGUGUGAUGAGCCCAUUAUUGUCUCUCACGUGGGAUAAUGUACCCGGUCAGGCUGAUAUGAGGGGAGUGGAUGACCUUUUCAUUCUGAACAUUAAUGCUACCUUUUAGGUGAGUUUUAGGGCAUGAGUUGGUGCACAGGACAAGACACCUGCCACCUGCCUGGUGGAAUAUCCUGUGGCAGGCUGCGUGUUUAUUUUUUCGUCAUGUUUAAUGAGGUAAAAAUAUUGCACUCGGAUGCCCUCCACUUUUAUUACUUUCUACUGUGGAAUUUACCUUUAUUAAAAAAAAGGCAAAAUGUCUUGAGGCAAAUUAGGCUCAUUUUUGAUGUCACUGGUGUUGGAGUAGUAUUUCACUUUUUAAAAAAUGCUUUACUGCACUGGAGCACAUUAGGGCAGGCUGAGGCUGGCUUUUUUUGCCCUCAGAGACUAUGGUGUCAUUUAAGGUUUUUUGAAGCAUGAGGAUCAUACUUUAGUUCAUGUUAGAAUGAGGCUGAUAAUAUGUCACACCUAUAGAUGUCAAGAAUGACAAUACUAUGACACUGAAAAGGGUGAUUUGUUGUUAACUGAAUUGCUUCAGCUGGUAACAAACAACUGAAUUAAGUUCAUCAGGAUUAAGUUACCAACUAAUAGCACUGACACAGUUUUAAGUUAGACGUUCUUAAAUUAUUUGAUUCCUCUCAGAUGAACAGUUUGCGCUGCUCCAAUUUCAUUUUAAAGGAAGUCAACUUGAAGUUUCUAAUUUUCUAAGUUACAUGUAAAAUGUAAAAACAUGAUCUUGUUGUUAGACUUUCUUUUUCUGUAAUUUUAAUCCUACUCAAAGAUCUAUCUAUCUAUCUAUCUAUCUAUCUAUCUAUCUAUCUAUCUAUCUAUCUAUCUAUCUAUCUAUCUAUCUAUCUAUCUAUCUAUCUAUCUAUCUAUCUAAGGCUAAAGGAAGAUGAUUUGCAGGUCAAUUGAGACUCAGAGGGGUGCUUGCU